rnacentral:tRNA from 1 species
CAAGAUGUAGCUUAAUCAAAGCGCCCGGCUUACACCCGGAAGACUUCACCUCCCAUGAACAUCUUGA